GUGCCAGUAGCAUAAUGCAUAGUGUGUGUGUGUGUGUGUGUGUGUGCGUUGGACUUCUAAUCCAAAGGUCGUUGGUUCGAAUCCCACCUGGAAUG